rnacentral:rRNA from 1 species
CUGCUGCCUCCCGUAGGAGUCUGGGCCGUGUCUCAGUCCCAAUGUGGCCGGCCAACCUCUCAGUCCGGCUACUGAUCGUCGACUUGGUGGGCCGUUACCCCGCCAACUAUCUAAUCAGACGCGAGGCCAUCUCAGAGCGAUAAAUCUUUGGCAACCAAAGCCAUGCGACUUAGUUGCAUUAUGCGGUAUUAGCAGCUAUUUCUAACUGUUAUUCCCCACUCCAAGGCAGGUUCCUCACGCGUUA